rnacentral:rRNA from 1 species
CUACCUGAUUCAGCGGCGGACGGGUGAGUAAUGCUUAGGAAUCUGCCCGAUAGUGGGGGACAACGUUUCGAAAGGAACGCUAAUACCGCAUACGUCCUACGGGAGAAAGUGGGGGAUCUUCGGACCUCACGCUAUCGGAUGAGCCUAGGUCGGAUUAGCUAGUUGGUGAGGUAAUGGCUCACCAAGGCGACGAUCCGUAACUGGUCUGAGAGGAUGAUCAGUCACACUGGAACUGAGACACGGUCCAGACUCCUACGGGAGGCAGCAGUGGGGAAUAUUGGACAAUGGGCGAAAGCCUGAUCCAGCCAUGCCGCGUGUGUGAAGAAGGUCUUCGGAUUGUAAAGCACUUUAAGUUGGGAGGAAGGGCAGUAAGCUAAUACCUUGCUGUUUUGACGUUACCAACAGAAUAAGCACCGGCUAACUCUGUGCCAGCAGCCGCGGUAAUACAGAGGGUGCAAGCGUUAAUCGGAAUUACUGGGCGUAAAGCGCGCGUAGGUGGUUCAGCAAGUUGGAUGUGAAAUCCCCGGGCUCAACCUGGGAACUGCAUCCAAAACUACUGAGCUAGAGUACGGUAGAGGGUGGUGGAAUUUCCUGUGUAGC